rnacentral:rRNA from 1 species
CGGCGGACGGGUGAGUAACACGUGGAUAACCUACCUAUAAGACUGGGAUAACUUCGGGAAACCGGAGCUAAUACCGGAUAAUAUUUUGAACCGCAUGGUUCAAAAGUAAAAGACGGUCUUGCUGUCACUUAUAGACGGAUCCGCGCUGCAUUAGCUAGUUGGUAAGGUAACGGCUUACCAAGGCAACGAUGCAUAGCCGACCUGAGAGGGUGAUCGGCCACACUGGAACUGAGACACGGUCCAG